UACGUAGGGGGCGAGCGUUGUCCGGAAUUACUGGGCGUAAAGGGCGCGCAGGCGGCCGUGUAAGUCCGCUGUGAAAGACCGGGGCUCAACCCCGGGGUGUCAGCGGGGACUGCACGGCUGGAGUCCCGGAGGGGGAGGCGGAAUACCUGGUGUAGCGGUGGAAUGCGUAGAGAUCGGAAGGAACGCCCGUGGCGAAAGCGAGGUCCUGGACGUUUACUGACGCUGAGACGCGAAAGCCAGGGGAGCGAACGGG
rnacentral:rRNA from 1 species